UACGGAGGGUGCAAGCGUUAUCCGGAUUCACUGGGUUUAAAGGGUGCGUAGGUGGGCAGUUAAGUCAGUGGUGAAAUCUCCGGGCUUAACCCGGAAACUGCCAUUGAUACUAUCAGUCUUGAAUAUUGUGGAGGUCAGCGGAAUAUGUCAUGUAGCGGUGAAAUGCUUAGAUAUGACAUAGAACACCAAUUGCGAAGGCAGCUGGCUACACAUAUAUUGACACUGAGGCACGAAAGCGUGGGGAUCAAACAGG
rnacentral:rRNA from 1 species